rnacentral:rRNA from 1 species
CCCUUAGAUGUUCUGGGCCGCACGCGCGCUACACUGACGAAGUCAGCGAGCAUGUCCUACGCCGACAGGUGCGGGGAAUCUUGUCAAACUUCGUCGUGAUGGGGAUUGAUUAUUGAAAUUCUUGAUCAUCAACGAGGAAUUCCUAGUAAGCGCAAGUCAGCAGCUUGCGUUGAUUACGUCCCUGCCCUUUGUACACACCGCCCGUCGCUCCUACCGAUUGAGUGGUCCGGUGAGGCUUUGGGAUCUGAGCAAAAAGAGCGUUUCGCUCGUUUGGCUCGGAAAACUCAGUCGAACCUUAUCAUUUAGAGGAAGGAGAAGUCGUAACA